CGAACAAGAACGGAACCGCGAACGGCCAACACAUAGAUACAGAACACCAGGCGAAGCGCACUACUCGGAUAACCGUAGCAAUACUAGGGCUAAUACAUGAGAAAGACCUCUGGUGAGGAGUGUUUAUUAGAAUGAAAACCAUAUGCUUCGGCAGUAUAGUGAGUAAUAGUAACCUAUCGUAUCGCAUGCUUAAAGUAGCGAUGAGUCUUUCAAGUUUCUGCCCUAUCAGCUUUCGAUGGUAGUAUAUGGGCCUACCAUG
rnacentral:rRNA from 1 species